rnacentral:rRNA from 1 species
CAGUCGCCGCGGGAAUACGUAGGGUGCGAGCGUUAAUCGGAAUUACUGGGCGUAAAGCGCACGCAGGCGGUCUGACAAGUCGGAUGUGAAAUCCCCGGGCUUAACCUGGGAACUGCAUUUGAAACUGUCAGGCUGGAGUCUUGUAGAGGGGGGUGGAAUUCCAGGUGUAGCGGUGAAAUGCGUAGAGAUCUGGAGGAAUACCGGUGGCGAAGGCGGCCCCCUGGACAAAGACUGACGCUCAGGUGCGAAAGCGUGGGGAGCAAACAGGAUUAGAUACCCCGGUAGUCCCUGUCUCUUAUAC